rnacentral:rRNA from 1 species
AUUGAACGCUGGCGGCAGGCCUAACACAUGCAAGUCGAACGAGUGGCGGACGGGUGAGUAAUUUCUGGGCAACUGCCUGAUGGAGGGGGAUAACUACUGGAAACGGUAGCUAAUACCGCAUACCAUCGGAUGUGUCUAGGGUGGUUUGGCUAGUAGGUGGGGUAAUGGCUCACCUAGGCGACGAUCCCUAGCUGGUCUGAGAGGAUGACCGGCCACACUGGGACUGAGACACGGUCCAGACUCCUACGGGAGGCAGCAGUGGGGAAUAUUGCACAAUGGGCGCAAGCCUGAUGCAGCCAUGCCGCGUGUGUGAAGAAGGCCUUCGGGUUGUAAAGCACUUUCAGCGGGGAGGCGUUACUCACAGAAGAAGCAACGGCUAACUCCGUGCCAGCAGCCGCGGUAAUUC